AAACUCAAAUGAAUUGACGGGACCCGCACAAGCAGCGGAGCGUGUGGUUUAAUUCGAUGCUACACGAAGAACCUUACCAGGGUUUGACAUGCAAGUGGUAGGAAACUGAAAAGGGACGACCUUCGGGAGCUUGCACAGGUGCUGCAUGGCUGUCGUCAGCUCGUGUCGUGAGAUGUUCGGUUAAGUCCGCUAACGAGCGCAACCCUCACUGUGUGUUAUAUGUGUCACACGGGACUGCCGGUUUUAAGCCGGAGGAAGGUGGGGAUGACGUCAAGUCCUCAUGGCCCUUAUGGGUAGGGCUUCACACGUCAUACAAUGGUCGGUACAGAGGGUUGCCAACCCGCGAGGGGGAGCUAAUCCCACAAAGCCGAUCGUAGUCCGGAUCGCAGUCUGCAACUCGACUGCGUGAAGUCGGAAUCGCUAGUAAUCGUGGAUCAGAAUGUCACGGUGAAUACGUUCCCGGGUCUU
rnacentral:rRNA from 1 species